GUAUUGGCGUUGUCGGGCUAUUCAAAUGCAGACUGGUUUAGGAACCUCAUGGCACAACAGAUGGAUUUUGAGUCGUGACAUGUUCUUGUGAGCUACAUCCUUAGAAACUUGUACCGUGCAACCAGUCCCUUGAUGCAGAUACAUCAGCCACAUUAACUUUUUCAGAGUCUACUCUUUGUUCUACAGAAGAAUCAAUAUUUGUUGGCUAGAUGCCGUGAUCACCAGCAGUUGUUGAGGACAAAUUAGACAAAAGAUGCAAAGAUAAUAGUAGCUUGCUCAGCAGGGGGAACAAUGAAACCGAAACCAAAUCUGCCAGAAGGUCAACAAUCUAGGUUGGCAACAAAUCAUUCUGUUUUCGUAUUGGGAUUUUCUUGAAGUAAUCUCUGCUGAAGUCUUCAGGUACUUGUGGUAUUUAUAGCAUCUCUCGUUGAAAGAACCCAACAUCCCUG